rnacentral:rRNA from 1 species
UAACGCGUGGGUAACCUGCCUUAUACAGGGGGAUAACAGUCAGAAAUGGCUGCUAAUACCGCAUAAGCGCACAGAGCUGCAUGGCUCAGUGUGAAAAACUCCGGUGGUAUAAGAUGGACCCGCGUUGGAUUAGCUUGUUGGUGGGGUAACGGCCCACCAAGGCGACGAUCCAUAGCCGGCCUGAGAGGGUGAACGGCCACAUUGGGACUGAGACACGGCCCAG